rnacentral:rRNA from 1 species
AGAUUGAACGCUGGCGGCAGGCCUAACACAUGCAAGUCGAGCGGUAGAGAGGUGCUUGCAUCUCUUGAGAGCGGCGGACGGGUGAGUAAUGCCUAGGAAUCUGCCUAGGUGGGUGGGGGAUAACGGUUCGGAAACGGCGCUAAUACCGCAUACGUCCUACGGGAGAAAGGCGGGGGACCUUCGGGCCUCGCGCCAUUAGAUGAGCCUAGGUCGAUUAGCUAGUUGGUGAGGUAAUGGCUCACCAAGGCGACGAUCCGUAACUGGUCUGAGAGGAUGAUCAGUCACACGUGGAACUGAGACACGGUCAGACUCCGUACGGGAGCAGCAGGUGGGAAUAGUGGACAGUGGGACAAGCUGAUCCAGCCAUCGCCGUACGGUGUGUAGAAGGAAGGUUCGUUACGGA